rnacentral:rRNA from 1 species
AUUGAACGCUAGCGGGAUGCUUUACACAUGCAAGUCGAGCGGCAGGGCGGACUUCUGUCUGGCGGCGAGUGGCGAACGGGUGGGUAAUUUAUCGGAACAUGCCCAAUAGCUGGGGAUAACUACGCGAAAGCGUAGCUAAUACCGCAUACGCCCUACGGGGGAACCCAGGGGAUCGUAAGACCUUGCACUAUUUGAGCGGCCGAUAUCGGAUUAGCAGGUUGGUGAGGUAACGGCUAACCAAGGCGACGAUCCGUAGCUGGUUUGAGAGGACGACCAGCCAACCUGGGAAUGAGACAGGGCCCAGAUCCCUACGGGAGGCAGCAGUGGGAAUUUUUGGCAAAUGGGGGCAACUCUGAUGCAGCCCGCCGGCGUGGGCGAGGAAGGCCUCCGGGUUGUAAAGCAUUUUUUGCAGGAAAGAAACGUCGGGGGGUAACACCCCGUGGAACGGACGGUACCUGUAGAAGAAGCACCGGUUAAUUACGU